UCUGGUGAUUUAUCGCAGAGGAAACACCUCUUCCCAUUCCGAACAGAGAAGUUAAGCUUUGUUGAGGCGAUGAUACCCUUCAGUGGGGAAAGUAGCUAGUCGCCAGGC
rnacentral:rRNA from 1 species